UUUACCACUGAUCCUCACAGCCACCCUCUGAAACAGGCGUUAUAUCCCCAUUUCCCAGAGAAGGGAAUGGAGGAUCAGAGAAGUGAAGUGGCCUGCCCAAAGGAGAACUGCAGGAGCUCCCGGACCAUGAAGGAGAUAAAGGCGCACAGAGACUCAGGGACAGUCAUGCCUCAUGCAGCAAGGCUGGCAGGAAGGAUUGAGGAAGACUGAGACAAGAAUCUCAAGCUAGAGCUGGCUGGGUCAUCUGACUUCUCUUGGGAUCUGCUGUCUCCUCCCCAGCCCCCAACAGACCUCCAGUUCGUGCUGACAUCACCAAGAACUACUAUCUGCUACUGCCCACUUGCUUUCUCUGGAAUCCACCUCUUGUUGCCACCUGGGGGUCAAGUUCAGGAGCCCGUGAAUCAGUAUGUCCAAGCCAGGAAGUGGUGAGUGAUAGCAGUGACUCAUUCCAAGCCACACCAGAAAAGAGACCAGAAAACACAGGUGACGGAGGCCGCACCCGCCAGGGAAGGCAGCCCUGCUGGGGCGGCUGCUGGGACCCAGUGGCUUGGUGAGGUCAGCACAAACAAACGUGUUCCCUCCACUGCAGCCGUGGUGUUUGUCUGGCCUUCCCUGUGCUGCCUAACCUGAGAUUUUCUGGGGCACUGAACCUGUGUUUACUUUGGGCAGCUUUGCCUGCCAGAUUCACGCUGCGGAAGGGAAGGCAAACACGGUGAGAGAAGGAUGCCUGGGGGACGGCUCUCAGGAACAUUUUCUCUCCAAACAACACUUGUUUGCCUUGACAGGCUCAGUCUCUUAAUGGUAGGCAGAGAAAUGAUCACCAGACCAAUAUUCAUAAAUAAUAAUAAUAAUAGAUCUUUGUGUAGGAUUCACUAUGUCCAAGUAUUUUUAAAAAACUGCUUAUUUAUUUUGAAAGUCAGAGUUACAGAGAGUGCGGGGAAAGAAAGAGAGAGAGAGAGAGAGAGAGAAACUUCCAUCCUCUGGUUCACUCCCCAGAUGGUCACAGUGGCUAGUGCUCUGAAACCAGGAGACAGGAGCCAGGAGCCUCAUCUGGGUCUCCCACAUGGGUGGCAGAGGCCCAAACACUUGGGUCAUCUUCCGCUACUUUUCCCAGGCCAUAGCAGGGAGCUGGAUCAGAAGCGGAGCAGCUGGGACGUGAAUGGGAAUGCUGGUGUCAGCUUUACCCACUAUACCACAGUGCCAGCCCCUGUGUGCAGGGGUUCUACUAAGCAUGACACACAGGUCCACUCACUGAAACCUCACAACAGCCCAUCUUUUGCUCAGGAAGGGGUUUAAGAUUGGGACGUCCAAAUUCAAAGGUCUAGAGCAACUUGUUUUCCAACUCCACCUCCACCCAGGCAGCAUGGAUCUGGUGGCUAAAAGUUUGGCAGAGAUUGGCCAGCAUUUCAGCUCCUCUGUCUUCCAGCC